GACGAACGCUGGCGGCGUGCUUAACACAUGCAAGUCGAACGGAGUGGCGAACGGGUGAGUAACACGUGGGUGACCUGCCCUGCACUUCGGGAUAAGCCGGGGAAACUGGGUCUAAUACCGGAUAGUGUGGGAUGGGCCCGCGGCCUAUCAGCUUGUUGGUGGGGUAAUGGCCUACCAAGGCGGCGACGGGUAGCCGGCCUGCGAAGGUGGACGGCCACAAUGGGACUGAGGCAGGGCCCAGGCUCCAACGGGAGGCAUCGGUGGGGAAUAUUGCACAGUGAGGGGAAGCCUGAGACGGGGACGCCGGGUGGGGAAUGCCGGCCUUCGGGUUAUAAACUCCUUUCGCCAUAUACGCGGUAGAUGGAGAAGAAGCACCGGCUAACUACGUGCCAGCAGCCGCGGUAAUAC
rnacentral:rRNA from 1 species